UGUAUGCUAGUAGAUGGGAUUACAGGGGACAGUUUUUUUAAAUUUAAUAAUUGAAGUUAUUUUAAUUUGUGAAGAAACAAUUAUAUAAAUUAAAGACAAGAAGACCCUAAGAAUUUAAGAAUUUUUAUUAAUAUAUUAUAUGUAUAUAUAUAAAUAAAAUUCUUAGUUGGGGCAACUAAAAAAUAUAUUAAACUUUUUUUUUAAAAAA
rnacentral:rRNA from 1 species